CCUACGGGAGGCUGCAGUGAGGAAUAUUGGUCAAUGGGCGCGAGCCUGAACCAGCCAAGUAGCGUGAAGGAUGACUGCCCUACGGGUUGUAAACUUCUUUUAUAAAGGAAUAAAGUGAGGCACGUGUGACUUUUUGUAUGUACUUUAUGAAUAAGGAUCGGCUAACUCCGUGCCAGCAGCCGCGGUAAUACGGAGGAUCCGAGCGUUAUCCGGAUUUAUGGGGUUUAAAGGGAGCGUAGAUGGGUUGUUAAGUCAGUUGUGAAAGUUUGCGGCUCAACCGUAGAAGUGCAAUUGAUACUGGCAGGCUAGAGUACAGUAGAGGUAGGCAGAAUUCGUGGUGUAGCGGUGAAAUGCUUAGAGAUCACGAAGAACUCCGAUUGCGAAGGCAGCUUACUAAACUGCCACUGACAUUGAUGUGCGAAAGUGUGGGUAUCAAACAGGAUUAGAUACCCCAGUAGUC
rnacentral:rRNA from 1 species